AUAUUAAUAAGCGGAGGAAAAGAAACUAACAAGGAUUCCCUUAGUAACGGCGAGUGAAGCGGGAAGAGCUCAAACUGAAAAUCUGGUACGUUUAGACGUGCCCGAAUUGUAGUCUCGAGAGGCAAGGACAACCAUCGUCCUGGAUCUAAGUCCUUUGGAAUAAGGCGACAUAGAGGGUGAGAUCCCCGUCUACGAUCUGGUGAUAGUGGAUACGUUCUGCCUUCAAAGAGUCGGGUUGUUUGGGAUUGCAGCCCUAAUUGGGAGGUAAAUUCCUUCUAAAGCUAAAUAUUUACGAGAGACCGAUAGCGCACAAGUA
rnacentral:rRNA from 1 species